rnacentral:lncRNA from 1 species
UGGUUCUUGUAAUGUGUUUAAUUUACUGUUCUACAGCAACCUCACAAAGUCCACUGAGGAAACUGAAGCACAGAGAGGUUAAAUAAGCUGCUGAAGGUCACACAGCUACAAGAGACAGAGGAAGAUUCAAACCCCAGGAGACUGCUGCCCACACAUCAGGGCCUGUAGGGUUUACUACACCAGUAUCUGACAGCUCAGCACUGCUAACAAGAUUGAACACAAACAAGACUGCCUCACCUGUGACGCCCUGAGCUCACACCUGGAGCCGAUGACGCAGGAGGGGACGGGGCAGUUUUGUCUGUUGUAUGGAACCAAGCUGGAGUUCCAGGAGUGGGCCUGGUAUUUAGAGCAUAAAUAUCUGACUCCCAUGGCCAGCAUGAGGUAAGGAGCCUUGGGGUUCAAAAGAACCCUCUAGGCAUCAGUCUUUGGUUCUCUGCUUUCUUAGAAAAU